rnacentral:tRNA from 1 species
CGGGAUGUAGCGCAGCCUGGUAGCGCACCUGUCUCGGGGUCAGGGGGUCGGAAGUUCAAAUCUUCUCAUCCCGACCA